AGAAUCAACGCUGGCGGCGUGCCUAACACAUGCAAGUCGAACGAGAAAGUGGAGCAAUCCAUGAGUAAAGUGGCGACCGGGUGAGUAACACGUGACUAACCUACCUUCGAGUGGGGGAUAACCUCGGGAAACCGAGGCUAAUACCGCAUAACAUCGCAAGAUCAAAGCAGCAAUGCGCUGGAAGAGGGGGUCGCGGCUGAUUAGCUAGUUGGCGGGGUAAUGGCCCACCAAGGCGAAGAUCGGUAGCCGGCCUGAGAGGGCGCACGGUCACACUGGAACUGAAACACGGUCCAGACUCCUACGGGAGGCAGCAGUGGGGAAUUUUGCGCAAUGGGGGAAACCCUGACGCAGCAACGCCGCGUGGAGGAUGAAGCCCCUUGGGGUGUAAACUCCUUUCGACCAAGACGAUAAUGACGGUACUGGUGGAAGAAGCACCGGCUAACUCUGUGCCAGCAGCCGC
rnacentral:rRNA from 1 species